rnacentral:snRNA from 1 species
AUACCUUUCUCUGCCUUUUGGCUAAGAUCAAGUGUAGUAUCUGUUCUUAUCAAGUGUAGUAUCUGUUCUUAUCAGUUUAAUAUCUGAUAUGUGGGCCAUGUGCCCACUUCGAUAUUAAAUCUAUUUUUUGUGGGGGAGGGCCCACCACAGUGGCUUGCCACUGGGGCCCUCACGCGUCGCCCAGGCGUUGCACUGCUGCCCGGGCCUGGCGCACCCCAA